rnacentral:lncRNA from 1 species
UCUUUCUUUCUUUCUUUCUUUCUUUCUUUCUUUCUUUCUUUCUUUCUUUCUUUGUUUCUUUCUCUCUCUUCUUUCUUUCCUCUCUCUCUCUCUCUUUCUGUUAUUUAAGACAGUGUCUUCUUAUCUCACCUUGGUGACUAGGCUGGCCUGGAACAUACAGAGAUCUGCCUGUCUGCUGUGCCCAGCAUACCCCCAGUGUUUAGCUUAUUUCAUGGCUAUUAGCCAAGAGUGAUGAUAGCCCAUGCCUGUAAACCUAAUGGCAGGAGAAUCACAAGCUUUAGGGUUAGCUGGGCUACGUAAUUAAUCUUAAUUGUAAGCCAGCCUGGGCUGUAGAGUGAGGUCUAGCUCAACAAUGGGCUUUUUAAUAUUUAUCUUUCCCCAGCUUUCUGGCCCACUCCCAUUCUUAGAAGUGUCUUUCUCCCGGGCGGUGGUGCAUGCCUUUAAUCCCAGCACUUGGGAGGCAGAGGCAGGCAGAUUUCUGAGUUCCAGGCCAGCCUGGUCGACAGAGUGAGUUCCAGGACAGACAGGGCUACACAGAGAAACCCUGUCUUGUCGAAACCACUGUCUCCUGUGUGAGAUACGUUUCGAACCGGAGCUCCACCAUUAUGGCUCCACCAUGUGGUCGACACCUCUGUCUCCUGCGGGAGAUAUGUGUCCGACCCGGAGUUCAUUAAACUACCUCAUGCUUUUACAUCAAAAAAAAAAAAAAAAAAAAGAAACCCUGUCUUGGAAAAAAAAAGUGUCUUUCUUUUUCUCAAUAAGCUGUCUCUAUUCCCUUAGAAAACAAAACACAGGGGAGGGUAUGGGGGACUUUUGGGAUAGCAUUGGAAAUGUAAAUGAGGAAAAUACCUAAUAAAAAUAAAAAUUAAAAAAAAUUUAAAAAAUUUUAAAAAGUAAGACUUCAAAAUC